rnacentral:SRP_RNA from 1 species
GCCAGGCAUGGUGGAUCAUGCCUGUAGUCCCAGUUACUCAGGAGGCUGAGGCAGGAGGAUCACUUGAGCCCAGGAGGUGGAGGCUGCACUGAGCUUUGACUGUGCCACUGCACUCCAGCCUGGGCAAUGGAGUGAGACCCUGUCUCUU